GCCGAUGUGGCGGAAUUGGUAGACGCGCACGCUUCAGGAGCGUGUGAGAGCAAUCUUGUGCGAGUUCGAGUCUCGCCAUCGGCACCA
rnacentral:tRNA from 1 species